AUUGAACGCUGGCGGCAGGCUUAACACAUGCAAGUCGAGCGAGCCGCAGACGGGUGAGUAAUGUCUGGGAAACAGCCUUAUGGAUGGGGAUAACUACUGGAAACGGUAGCUAAUACCGCAUACCAUCAGAUGUUCCCAGAUGGGAUUAGCUAGUAGGUAGGGGAAUGGCUAACCUAGGCCACGAUCCCUAGCUGGUCUGAGAGGAUGACCAGCCACACUGGAACUGAGACACGGUCCAGACGCCUACGGGAGGCAGCAGUGGGGAAUAUUGCACAAUGGGCGCAAGCCUGAUGCAGCCACGCCGCGUGUGUGAAGAAGGCCUUCGGGUUGUAAAGCACUUUCAUCGAGGAGGCGUUACUCGCACAAGAAGCACCGGCUAACUCCGUGCCAGCAGCCGCGGUAAUAC
rnacentral:rRNA from 1 species